AAGCGCUUAUGACCAGACCUUUUCUAGGGGGAUCAUCCGGUGUUCUCACCGGUGCACUUCGCCUAGUUGAGGCCAGCAUCGGUUCCCGUAGGGGGAUAAAAGUUUCGGGAAUGUGGCUCCUCCGGGAGUGUUAUAACCUGUUACAUAAUACCCUUAUGGGGACCGAGGUUCGCGCUCUGCAAGGAUGCUGGCGUAAUGGUCAUCAGCGA
rnacentral:rRNA from 1 species